GAUAAUCGUAUUAGUACACAGGAGAAGGAUUUGACAAAGCUAAGCCAAAGUUUAUACUUAUGCCUAGUGUUCCAUUAUUGGAACGCUAAGCACGUGGGAGUUAUUUAUAUCCUACUGCUCAAGGUCAUCACUAACGUCUGAUUGCAAAAAUUCAAAAAAAUUGCAACUUCAGGCAUAAGUGGGUUAAAAAUGAAACAACAAUUUUAUAGUGGAAAUAAAGGGUAACUUCCUUUGCCUGAUAAAGUUUUUCAUAAAUAAAUAAAAAUGCAGGCAAUAAAGAAUAUCAAUCCAUCUAACCAUAUUAAAUUGAGAAGCCAUAAUGAGUGGAGAAAAUUCACAAACAGGGAAAUUUAUUUUAAACCUAAACUGUUUUGGUGUGCAGAAUAUAUGAUGAACUCCUAGGUGUCAAUAAGAAAGCACUCCCACCUCUACAUUUCUUUCUUUUAUACCUAGGCCAGACCUAGAAAUGUAUUUUCCAUACAAAUAUCAUUGCUAUGUAAAUAGAAAUGUAACCUCACGUUCUCCCAGCAGGAUUAUUUACAGGAGUUCCCUUCUUCCCUACUCAGUAAUUUGAUUGGGAAUAAACCAAAAGAGUUAACUUCCAGGGUGAUUUGAAGUAGAAAUAUACAAUUUUGGAAAGUAACAAAAAAAAACUCACAUUUUUUUGUGGAGGCUGACAUGUUUGAGCCAGAGAAAUCUGGAGUUCAAUCCACCAGAGCUCCAGGUGUGUCUGAUUCCCAAGCCCAAGCUCCUGAUCACCAUCCCAUAAUUACUAAGUACUUACCUUUUUGAGUUUCAGUUUCUUCAUCUGUAAAACGGUGCUUCAUCUUCCUGAGUCUGUUUCCUCAUCAUUAUCCCUGUAUCACAGCGUUGUGGUGAGAAUAAAUGAGAAAAUAUGUAGAUGUCAAAUAGUAUGGCAAUUCCCCAGAAAAGUAAAAAUAUAAUUACCAUAUGAUCCAGCAACCCCACUUCUUGGUAUGUAUCCAAAAGAAUUGGGUGCAGGGACUUGAAGAGAUGUUUCUACAGCCAUGUUCAUAGCAGCAUUAUGCACAGUAGCCAAAAGGUGGAUGCAACUGAGGUGUCCAUCAACAGAUGAAUGACCAUCUUGUAUGGCCUAUCCAUACAAGAGAAUAGUAUUCAGCCUUGAAAAGGAAGAAUAUUCUGGCACAUGCUACAACUUGAAUGAACUUUGAGGACACUAUGCUAAGUGAAAUAAGCCAGUCACAAAAAGACAACUACUGAAGAUUCCAUGUAUGACGUACCUAAAGUCAUCCAAAUUCAUAGAGACAGAAAGUGGAAUGCUGGUUGUCAGAAGCUGGAAAGAGGGAAAAUGAGGAGUUAGUGUUUAAUGGAUGCAGUUUCAGUUUUGUGAGAUGAAAAGAGUUCUGGAGAUUGGUUUGCACAAUGAUGUGAAUUCACUCAACAGUACAGAACCGUACACUUAAAAAUGAUUUAGAUAGUAAAUUUUAUGUUGUGGGUAUUUGACCAUGAUUAAAAAAAUAUAUAUGUACAUGUCUCAAUGCUCAACACAUAGUAAGAGUUCAUUACAAUCUAUAAUUCUGUUGUGGUUGUCGUUGUCAGCCUACUCCUUUAUCGGGUUAUGAGCUGGAAUUCACUCUAUCUUGAAAGGCAUAUGGCCAUUUUUACUUUAGACGUGCCAAGAGCAGAUGACCUAACUCCUCCACUGUGGUCAUGAUGCAAACAGGGGAAGUUAUGUAACACAAGGCUAAAAUGUUUCUUCCAAAGGCCCACGGCUGCUGCUCAUUGCAGGCUGAGCCUUGGAUCAUUGUCCAUAUUUCUUCCAAAAUCAGUUUUAGGGCUUGCCACACUCCAGCUGUUAUGCUGGUGCUGGCAUCUCCAUUCAUAACUGACAAGGCAGAAAGUGAAUUAAAAAUUAAUUCAAAAUGCUUUGAAGGGAAAUGGAGCUGAUGUUCUGGGCUGACUGUUACCAUUGCCUUGCAUGUUCAAUGCCCCUGUCUAGUUCUGGCUCAAUUGUCUGGCUCACAAACUUCUUAGAGAUCAUGC
rnacentral:lncRNA from 1 species